CGUAGGUACUUACAUUCGCCAACACGCAAACAGACAGCCAAAUAAUGUUGCAAGUGAAUAGACAUUUCCCUAAGUCAGUAAAUUGUAAGAAAUACAAGAUUAUUUGUAAUAAAGAAAAAAAAAAUAAAACAUAUAUGAGGAAUUUAAUAAUAAAUCACGUAUUAAAUUCUUGUUGCCACAAUGUUUGAAGUGUAAGUAAAGAACUUCUUUAGAAUCGUUGUUUAUUGAAACUCGAUGAAGCGAAAAAGCGAGACGCCAGCCAUAUCCGGGGUUCUCGAGGGAGCAGAGAACGAAUUUGGGAUAAUUUUUUAAAUCCAAGAUGGCCGCAGUUUAAAAUUAUGAUUUCAACGAUAUGGAUAUCAUAUCCGAGGUUCUCGGGGGUUUCAAUAUCUACCAAUAAACACAAAAAAUAUCUCAACAGAGGAACUCGGAGUACAUAAUACUUUCAUGGCAGUUACCUCAAGAGUACGUAAGGGAAUUGGAAUCCAUCUUUAACGGAAUCGGCAGUGUGCAGUACGGAAACAACUAGCCAAGAAAAUCUUGUUUCAACGCAAACAAAAAAAAAAUGUGCAACAAAAAUUAUAUGUGUUAUUUUUAUUAAAUUCCGAA